CUACCUAUAAGACUGGGAUAACUUCGGGAAACCGGAGCUAAUACCGGAUAAUAUAUUGAACCGCAUGGUUAGAUAGUGAAAGACGGUUUUGCUGUCACUUAUAGAUGGAUACGCGCCGCAUUAGCUAGUUGGUAAGGUAACGGCUUACCAAGGCAACGAUGCGUAGCCGACCUGAGAGGGUGAUCGGCCACACUGGAACUGAGACACGGUCCAG
rnacentral:rRNA from 1 species